GAUGAACGCUAGCGGCAGGCCUAACACAUGCAAGUCGAGGGGUAGAGGAAGCUUGCUUCCUUGAGACCGGCGCACGGGUGCGUAACGCGUAUGCAAUCUACCUUUUACAGAGGGAUAGCCCAGAGAAAUUUGGAUUAAUACCUCAUAGUAUAUAUCAUUCGCCUGUUUGAUAUAUUAAAGUUCCAACGGUAAAAGAUGAGCAUGCGUCCCAUUAGUUAGUUGGUAAGGUAACGGCUUACCAAGACGAUGAUGGGUAGGGGUCCUGAGAGGGAGAUCCCCCACACUGGUACUGAGACACGGACCAGACUCCUACGGGAGGCAGCAGUGGGGAAUAUUGGUCAAUGGACGCAAGUCUGAACCAGCCAUGCCGCGUGCAGGAAGACGGUCCUAUGGAUUGUAAACUGCUUUUGUACGGGAAGAAACACUCCUACGUGUAGGAGCCUGACGGUACCGUAAGAAUAAGGAUCGGCUAACUCCGUGCCAGCAGCCGCAGUAACAC
rnacentral:rRNA from 1 species